AGGACGAACGCUGGCGGCGUGCUUAACACAUGCAAGUCGAGCGGUAAGGCCUUUCGGGGUACACGAGCGGCGAACGGGUGAGUAACACGUGGGUGAUCUGCCCUGCACUCUGGGAUAAGCCUGGGAAACUGGGUCUAAUACCGGAUAUGACCUGCUCUCGCAGUGGGGGUGGGUGGAAAGAUUUAUCGGUGCAGGAUGGGCCCGCGGCCUAUCAGCUUGGUUGGUGGGGUAAUGGCCUACCAAGGCGACGACGGGUAGCCGACCUGAGAGGGUGACCGGCCACACUGGGACUGAGACGACGGCCCAGACUCCGUACGGGAGGCAGCAGGUGGGAAUAGUGCACAAUGGGACGAAAGCCUGAUGCAGCGACGCCGCGU
rnacentral:rRNA from 1 species